rnacentral:lncRNA from 1 species
UUUUAUGUUGUUGUAUUUAAGAAUGAACCUACUCGAGUCUCGGGUGCUAAAGUGGUUGUCUCUUGGAAUCUCAGAAAAAUCAAAUUUGGGUUAAAACACUUGACUUGUGCAGAAUAAAGGGCAAGAUUACUUUCAAAUCAAUAUAUUGAGAAGUCCAUUCUCUUAUUCUGAGGAUUCUACUUGAUUACAGUUCAAGAUUGAAUGUUUCUUUGAACUGGUGAAUGAGGAGAGACAUAUUUGAAAGCUAUGAAUUCAUUUACUUAUGGAGUAAACUGGCCUACUGACCUGAAUCAUAUUGAUGGAAAGAAAGUGAAGGGACUUGAAGGGAUAUAAGUCAUUAUUGGAAUAAUAUAACCAACUUCUUGGUGAUUUAAUAAAGGUUUAUUUGAGAUGCUAAAUGUAAUAAGCCGGAAAAAUUUAUAGGAUAUUCCUUCAAUAAUCCUUUUUUUCAAGGAUAAUCGUGGAAUAUUUCCUUGGGUCUGAGAUGGGCACUUUAUUCAUCUUUAGAGAGGUAAUUAAAUGUCUUUGAAUUUAUAUUUAUGUAGUACAUAAAAAAAUGAAAAAUAAAAGCUCUGAAUUACAUUUAGUGAUGACUUAGAUGACGAGACUGAGAUUUUUGGUGGAGUAGUCUAUAUAUUGACGUUCUGUCGAUUUAGAUGAUGCCAUCAAAAUCGCUUGUUUGAUUGACAAACGAGGCAUUUGUCUGAAAUUAAUUUUGAGCUUUUUCAAAUUUUUACUUUUAUUUUAAGUUUUACUUUAGUUCUUUUUCUCAUUACUAAAGAAUUUUUUUUCUUCUUUUUAUAGGAGAAUUUAUUUUAUACAGAAGACAUCGUUUCCUAUUAAUUUAGAAGACUUGAAGAGAUAAAAGAUAUAAAAUAAUGCUCAAGAUAGAAGUACCUUUCUAUGUAGGAAUAUUUAAGAGGAUAUGGAGAAAGGAAACUUCAAGAUAAUCAGGAUGAUCAUAAGGUAUGUGCUUUCACUUUUUGAUGAGAAUUUAUUUUUAGCAGAAAUACGAACCGUAUUUAUUAUUAAUACUACACAAGUUUUUCAUAAUAUUUAAUUAUCUAUUAUGUAUCUUAUAACUAUAUCAUGAAAAAUGAAUGAGAAUAAAGGAGUUAUGAAGAUCAAA